UACGUAGGGUGCAAGCGUUGUCCGGAAUUAUUGGGCGUAAAGAGCUCGUAGGCGGUUUGUCGCGUCUGCUGUGAAAACUCAGGGCUUAACUCUGAGCUUGCAGUGGGUACGGGCAGACUAGAGUGCGGUAGGGGGAGACUGGAAUUCCUGGUGUAGCGGUGAAAUGCGCAGAUAUCAGGAGGAACACCGGUGGCGAAGGCGGGGUCUCUGGGCCGUAACUGACGCUGGAGGAGCGAAAAGCAUGGGGGAGCGAACAGG
rnacentral:rRNA from 1 species